CCUACGGGAGGCUGCAGUAAGGAAUAUUGGUCAAUGGACGCAAGUCUGAACCAGCCAUGCCGCGUGGAGGAUGAAGGUCCUCUGGCUUGUAAACUUCUUUUCUUUGGGAAGAAACUCCCGAUUUCCAUCGGGAUUGACGGUACCAGAUGAAUAAGCACCGGCUAACUCCGUGCCAGCAGCCGCGGUCAUACGGAGGGUGCAAGCGUUAUCCGGAUUCACUGUGUUUAGGGGGUGAGUAGAGUCAGUGGUGAAAUCUCCGGGCUUAACCCGGAAACUGCCAUUGAUACUAUUUGUCUUGAAUACUCUGGAGGUGAGCGGAAUAUGUCAUGUAGCGGUGAAAUGCUUAGAUAUGACAGAGAACACCCAUUGCGAAGGCAGCUCACUACGGAAAUAUUGACGCUGAGGCACGAAAGCGUGGGGAUCAAACAGGAUUAGAUACCCGAGUAGUC
rnacentral:rRNA from 1 species